GGGCUCUAAGGGUUUUACUUUUCACAAGUGGAGAAUGCUGGUGAACAGUUGGAAAAUAAGAAUUCUCUGGGCUUCCUAAACACAAUGGCUGCUGUUAAGUUGAAUUUAUGUAUCAGGCCACGGUGGUGAAAAUGAAGAAUCAGGAACUAAAAAUGUGAAAGCUCUCCCCUAACUCGAACAUCAGCCAAACACCCCAAGCUACCCUGCAGAGCCAGCGCCUUGGAUGUGUGAGGAGUUGCCCCAGCUGGAUCAACCAAAUCAGGAAGAGACUUUGGCCUUUUCAAAAAUAAACUUCUCUGCCCACCUCAAUUCGUUCAGCUGAAACAGACCAGGAUCCCGCUGUCCUGCACCAUGCUUUAGACACACUGGCCUGCUUGCAGUUCCACACACCUUUCAUGCCCUCCUCUCCUGGAGCUUCACAGAUGGAGACCCACAUUCAGAAACACUCUCUCCAGCCUUCUCACAUGCUUUGCCUGCCAGCGCUCUACUUGUCCUUCAGGACUUGGUUUCAACAGCAACCCCAACAGGAUGUGCUCCCAAAGCACACGCACUUGCCACCAGGGCCACAGUGAUUGUUCAUGCUGAG